CACGAUUGGGGUAAAUCAGCGAUUUUUCCACGACCCAUAUUGUUGGGUAAAUAGCGUGUGUUUCUCAUUUGGUUUUUGACCUUUGUGGCGAGAUAGUCAAUGGAUAACAUAGAUAUAAUUUUUGAUGAGUUGAAACGAAAUGAAAUUGAUAUUGAUAAGCGAACUUUAUCGUUUCAUAUAAAUACAAUGGCCAACCAACAUCGCGG